rnacentral:lncRNA from 1 species
GUCUGAAUCUGCCUUGCAGGAUGGGCUUCAGCUCGGACGAAUACCUUUCUCUCGUGGCCAGGCUCAUUAUCCAUUUUCGAGACAUUCGGACAGUGGCCUGGCUGGUGCACACAGUCCUGUGGGGCUCAUGAGGUCAUGGGAAGCAGCCGAGCAGGAGGCUCAGGGCCCCAUGACUGCUACAGAAGUUCUCCGCUGGGCACUGGGGUCAGCUGGACUGGCUUCCAGCUGGCCGUGGACAGCCUCAGUUUCCUCAUCUAGAUAACAAGAAAUCUCAAGCUUCCGUCAGUGAUCCUAUGAAUGCACUCCAGAGCCUGACUGGCGGACCUGCUGCGGGAGCCGCUGGAAUUGGCAUGCCUCCUCGGGGCCCGGGACAGUCUCUGGGCGGGAUGGGUAGCCUUGGUGCCAUGGGACAGCCAAUGUCUCUCUCAGG